GUCGGGAGCGGUCGGUGACUGAGAACGUAAAACUAGGUUCACUGAAUCAUAAUUUUCAUUUGUUCCACUAGCGUUAGUGUUAUUCUCAAGCACGAUCAACGACUGGAUAUUAUUCGAUCCGAACAUUUGGAAUAACUAUCCAUAAGACUUUUCGACCGAAUUUUGAUAUUGUAUUUACUCGAAUUAAACAACUAAGGGAAAAAAGCGUGGUUAUUCCUAGAGAAAACUUUGAUAUUUGACUAUAAGAAUUAAUUUUUUUGAGAAUGUGCGAUUGGAAAGAUGCUCCACAUUUUAUGAUUGUAUGACGGGAGCAGUGGAACCGAAUCUCUACGACGUCUGUUCUCACAGGUAAAUACUUUAAAGCUCACUGAAGAAUCUACCUGCCUCCUAGGUAUUUUACUUUCAACUCAGUCCUUUAAGUAGAGAUAAAUUGUUUCCUUCUACCUUAUUUACAACUGAACUGGAUCUUCGCCAUUCUUCUUCCGGUAGUCUGAACCAAAGAGGAGGCCCUUCCACCUUCUGGAUUCCUUAAGUUUGGCUGCUAAAUCAUCUCUGGAGGGAAGAUUUGCCGGAUUAUAACGAUGAUGAAGUCCUGUAAGGGCAGGAUGUAAGAGUGGUACAGAAUGCCAUCGGGACAAGAAGAUCCUCUUUUGGAGCACGGAACUUACAAGAAGUCGGGUCACAAGAAUACAAUCCUGCAGACCGUCAAGAAACAGGUUCUGGAUAUUUUGUGACAGCAGCAAACUCGGAAAAUGAAAGUCUUCAGAAGCAACUUAAUCUACUUUCAGCAGGUUAAUUCUGCUAAAAUACCUUUCGAUUUAUAUAACAAAAGAUGUUCCAUCCAUUUUGAUAGCAUUAUUUUUUCCUGGACUGACAGUGACUAAGAAGAAAAUUUUAUUUUAUAUAAACUAAAAAAACUCGAAAUGUGGCUUCGUAUAACUAGACGUUUACCUCAAUCUUUGAAUCGUGUAUUUUUACCAUUGAUAACAAGAGUGGUUUUAUGUUUCAUAUCUUUGAAAGAAAUCCAUUUUCUGAACUUUAAAUUGUGAUAUUGAUUUCCAAGCAAUAAAGAAAGUACAAGAAAACCAA